GAUGAACACUGGCGGCGUGCUUAACACAUGCAUAGUCGAACGAUGAAGCCCACCUUGCUGGGUGGAUUAGUGGCCAACGGGUGAGUAACACGUGAGUAACCUGCCCUUAACUCUGGCAUAAGCCUGGGUAAACUGGGUCUAAUACCGGAUAGGAGCGUCCGCCGCAUGGUGGGUGUUGGAAAGAUUUAUCGGUUUUGGAUGGACUCGCCGUCUAUCAGAUUGUAGGUGAGGUAAUGGCUCUCCAAGGCGACGACGGGUAGCCGGCCUGAGAGGGCGACCGGCCACACUGUGACUGAGACACCGCCCAAACUCCUACCGCAAGCUGCAGUGGGCAAUAUUGCACUAUGGACGCAAGCCUGAUGCAGCAACCCCGCGUCGUGGGAUGACGGACUUCGAGUCGUGAACCUCUUUCGGUAUGGACGAAGCGAAAGUGUCGGUGCCUGGAUAAGAAGCACCGGCUAACUACGUGCCAUCUAGCCGCAGUAAUACCUAGGGUGCGAGCGUUCUCCGGAAUUAUUGAGCGUGCAGAGCUCGUAGGCGGUUUUCGCGUCUGUCGUGAAAGUCCGGGGCUUAACCCCGGAUCUGCGGUGGGUACGGGCAGACUAGAGUGCAGUAGGGGAGACUGGAAUUCCUGGUGUAGCGGUGGAAUGCGCAGAUAUCAGGAGGAACACCGAUGGCGAAGGCAGGUCUCUGGGCUGUAACUGACGCUGAGGAGCGAAAGCAUGGGGAGCGAACAGGAUUAGAUACCCUGGUAGUCCAUGCCGUAAACGUUGGGCACUAGGUGUGGGGACCAUUCCACGGUUUCCGCGCCGCAGCUAACGCAUUAAGUGCCCCGCCUGGGGAGUACGGCCGCAAGGCUAAAACUCAAAGGAAUUGACGGGGGCCCGCACAAGCGGCGGAGCAUGCGGAUUAAUUCGAUGCAACGCGAAGAACCUUACCAAGGCUUGACAUGUUCUCGAUCGCCGUAGAGAUACGGUUUCCCCUUUGGGGCGGGUUCACAGGUGGUGCAUGGUUGUCGUCAGCUCGUGUCGUGAGAUGUUGGGUUAAGUCCCGCAACGAGCGCAACCCUCGUUCCAUGUUGCCAGCACGUCGUGGUGGGGACUCAUGGGAGACUGCCGGGGUCAACUCGGAGGAAGGUGAGGACGACGUCAAAUCAUCAUGCCCCUUAUGUCUUGGGCUUCACGCAUGCUACAAUGGCCGGUACAAUGGGUUGCGAUACUGUGAGGUGGAGCUAAUCCCAAAAGCCGGUCUCAGUUUGGAUUGGGGUCUGCAACUCGACCCCAUGAAGUCGGAGUCGCUAGUAAUCGCAGAUCAGCAACGCUGCGGUGAAUACGAUGCCCGGGCCU
rnacentral:rRNA from 1 species